rnacentral:misc_RNA from 1 species
GUGUCAAUGUGAGGUUUCCCUAUGGAUGAUAGGUAUUCAUGAAACAAUUGGAGGAUAGUAUUUGUAGGAAAUAAGUCUGUUGGCUUAAUGUUUAUGCGUUGAGAGGGCUCAUGGCUCGAGAUGACACGAUGGGGUUUAAGUGUGGUGUCAAUGAUAUUUGAAACCGCUAAUUUUGGAACAGUUUUGCUAAAAAGGUGGUUUUGGUUCUGAUUUCCAGUUUCUGGAACAAGUGAGUAGUUUUGCAGAGAUUCAAUGGCAUUGUUAUCCCCAACCAAGAUCCAUGGUCAUGGAAAUUGGAAGAGAUGGAUCUUUCGAGGGCGAAGAAGAUAUGCAUUAAAGUGAAGUCGCUCUAACCAGGGGCCGUAUCUCAAUCUCUUACCCCUUUCUAUCAGCAAUUGUAUUUCCUUUUGUUUGCACAUCCUACUCAUAUGACCCAACGAACCACACUUGAAACAUACUUUUGGCAUUCAUUCGUAUUUGAAAUGAAUCCAUUGAACCUUCCAUUUGAUUUCUUACUAUGGAAUCCUGAUAUGAAAGGCAUGUCAACCUUGAUAAGGGCCUUGAUUCUGAGCAUAUGCGGCAGUCUCCGAAUCCCUUCUUGAGAAAAAUUGACAUCAACGAAACCCCCUAAAAACUCUCCGAUGGUUUUUGCAUUAAAGAGAGUCAUUUUGUUUGGAGUAACCCAAAAAGGUUAAAGUUUAAAUUAGAAGGCCUUUCCCUUAUGACCAAGAGACUGUUGUGAAUAAAUCAUGGCCUGCCUGCAUAACAUUAACAACAUCGACAUCAUAAGCAAAAGAGAAGGUCUAAGUUUUACUACUAAACAUUAGACAAAACAGCUUUGAUUGUGGUUGCGCUGUAAUUUUUCCCUGCAAGCAGUUUGCCUACCAAUAACUUCUUCUAGAUUAGUUGUCCUCGAAAAUAAUAUUCCUCUACCUGUAAAAUUGGUUCAUCGCAUUUAAGAUUCUGGGCCAUAAUGAUUAUCUCUAUCAUUUCUUUAUCAAUAUUUGCCAUGUUUCUGGUCAUUGUUGAAGAAGCUUCUCUCCACAAUA